ACCUGCGGAAGGAUCAUUACAGUAUGAUUAAGGGGGGGUUGGAUGCUGGCCUGUGAGGGCAUGUGCGCGCUCCCCUGUUUGUCAAUACACACACACCUGUGCACCUAUGGCGAGUGCCUCCCGUUUGGAGCCGUUCGAUGUUGAACCCAUUCUUUUUGGGGGAGGCUUGGAACCGGGGCGCUCCCUCUUUUCUUGUUACCCAUCUCAGCCUGUUAGAACGCAUGUCUAAGCUUUACGGAGCUGAAAAAGUAAAUAUAACUUUCAACAACGGAUCUCUUGGCUUUCGCAUCGAUGAAGAACGCCGCGAAAGUGCGAAACGUAAUGUGAAUUGCAGAAUUCAGUGAAUCAUCGAAUCUUUGAACGCAUCUUGCGCUCCUUGGUAUUCCGAGGAGCAUGCCUGUUUGAGUGUCGUGAAACCCUCUCGAUCUUCUCUCCUUUUCUUGAAGGAGUGGGGGUUGGAUUUGGACGUUUGCGGCGGUCUCUUUUGGCCGUCCGCUCGUCUUUAAAUGUAUUAGCUUGGCCUCUGGAGUCGGUCCAACGACGGUGUGAUAAUUAAACGUCUCUGCGCCGUUCGGUCCGAUUCUGAUACGAGGUGGCUUCUAAUCGAUCUUCUUUGCAAUCUGACCUCAAAUCAGGUAGGACUACCCGCUGAACUUAAGCAUAUCAAUAAGCGGAGGAAAAGAAACUAACCAGGAUUCCCCUAGUAACGGCGAGUGAAGCGGGAAGAGCUCAAAUU
rnacentral:rRNA from 1 species